AGCAGCCGCGGUAAUUCCAGCUCCAAUAGCGUAUAUUAAAGUUGCUGCAGUUAAAAAGCUCGUAGUUGAAUUUCGGGACCAUCAUGUCGGUCGUGCCUCGGUACGUACUGGCAUCGUUGGUUUCUCCCUUCUGACGAACCAUGAUGUCAUUAAUUUGGUGUCAUGGGGAAUCAGGACUGUUACUUUGAAAAAUUAGAGUGUUUAAAGCAGGCUCACGCUUGAAUACAUUAGCAUGGAAUAAUGAAAUAGGACGUUUGAUUCUAUUUUGUUGGUUUCUAGGAUCGACGUAAUGAUUAAUAGGGAUAGUUGGGGGCAUUAGUAUUCAAUUGUCAGAGGUGAAAUUCUUGGAUUUAUUGAAGACUAACUACUGCGAAAGCAUUUGCCAAGGAUGUUCUCAUUAAUCAAGAACGAAAGUUAGGGGAUCGAAGACGAUCAGAUACCGUCGUAGUC
rnacentral:rRNA from 1 species